rnacentral:rRNA from 1 species
AAGUCGAACGGAGAGAUAUGAGAGCUUGCUCUUGUAGAUCUUAGUGGCGAACGGGUGAGUAACGCGUAAACAACCUGCCCAACGGAUGGGGACAACAGACGGAAACGACUGCUAAUACCCAAUAGACUCCGGUUUCGCAUGAAACCGACAGGAAAGGUGGCCUCUCGAAGAAGCUACCGCCGCAGGAGGGGUUUGCGUUUGAUUAGUUAGUUGGUGGGGUAACGGCCUACCAAGACGAUGAUCAAUAGCCGGUCUGAGAGGAUGAACGGCCACACUGGAACUGAGACACGGUCCAGACUCCUACGGGAGGCAGCAGUGGGGAAUCUUCCGCAAUGGACGAAAGUCUGACGGAGCAACGCCGCGUGAGUGAAGAAGGCCUUCGGGUUGUAAAGCUCUGUUAUUCGGGAAGAACGAUUCGUUUGUGAACAAUGAACGGAAGUGACGGUACCGAAAGAGAAAGCCACGGCUAACUACGUGCCAGCAGCCGCGGUAAUACGUAGGUGGCAAGCGUUGUCCGGAAUUAUUGGGCGUAAAGAGCGCGUAGGCGGUAUGGUAAGUCUGUCUUAGAAGUGCGGGGCUUAACCCCGUGAGGGGACAGAGACUGUCAUACUGGAGUCUCGGAGAGGAAAGCGGAAUUCCUAGUGUAGCGGUGAAAUGCGUAGAGAUUAGGAAGAACACCGGUGGCGAAGGCGGCUUUCUGGACGAGCACUGACGCUGAGGCGCGAAAGCGUGGGGAGCGAACAGGAUUA